ACUCCCAGCACCAAGCACCUUCUUAUUCUUCUUCUUAUUUUCUUUUUUAAAGGGAUGAUGACUACCUGAAGAAGAUCCUCCCAUUAGAUUCACUGUCUCCUUGUGGAGCUGGUGAUCUUUCUUAAAAAUCUGUAGCAACCCCAAUAGACUGUGGUAGUUGACUACAGGUUUCAUCAUUCUAAAAUGAUUGAGGAACGAUAGGUAGGACUUGGGAAGAGAGUUUAAGAUCACAUCUUUCCCCAGC
rnacentral:lncRNA from 1 species